CUGCCCUCCCUGGCUUCAAAUCAGCAUCCUCACAUCACGGCCCUCCUAGUAGCUAGGAUUACAGAUAUGAGUCACCGGUGUCCCGCUUGACAUUGCUAUUUUUUCAACUCUUCUCUUUGGCAGUCUUGGCAUUUCAACUCAGGGUUUCGCCCUUGCUAGGCAGGUGGUGUAGGCUGAGCCCAGGCACAUGCCUGAAUCACAACUCACCUGUUUUUAGGCUUCUUGCUAUAGAUGAGGUAGUGGUGUGCUAGCUGCACCAAGACCCCUGAGAUGGGAUCUCACUAACUUUUCUACCUGGAUUGGCCUAUAACUGCAAUCCUUCUAAUUUCAUCUUCCUACUCAGCUGGGAUGACUGGUUCAUGUCACUGAGUCCAGCUAUUGGUUGAGAUGAGGUCUCACGUGUAUGAUUGGAUUCACCGGGAUUCUUGGUCCUCUGAUUCCAAGUAUCCAGGUUAUAAGCCUGAGCUACUCAUACCUGGCUUAUUUUUAUAACUCUUAAGCUAACUCUGAUUAGUUUUAUCCUAAAGGCAUUUUGCAGAUAUGGACAGAUUCUUUAUUUGUCAUAAUUCAGUGAUAGAAAUUCAAAUGAGAGCAAUAAACAUUGAAAGUGUAAUUAAAAUACCAUUUUUUGUUUUUAAGCAGAUGUGUACAAAUCAAUGCAGCAACUAAGUGUCUCCUUGUCUUUUCUUGGAGUGGCUAGGCUGAAGUUGUUUGUGUUUUAGACCUGUAAAUUAUAUACCAAGUUCACCCUGUGCAUUGUCUCUCCAGGCAUUUAUUUUGGAUUCAAUAACUAUUAAAAUCCUUCAUGUACCUCCUUCCUUCUUUGCACGGCAUGGACCUGACCUCCCUCGCAACUUUUGUACAGUUUGUACUCUGUGACAUCGUUUUGUUUUGUUCUCUAUUGUUUCUUCACUGCUUGGGCAUUUUCCUCACUCCUGAAAAAAUGGACCUUAAGGAAUGAAUCACCUUAGUGGGAAGGAAAGCAUUGAAAAUUGAUUGACAUGUUUUUAUAAUUGAGGAAAUAGGGAUGUUUUUUCGGAUACUGAAUAUUUGCUCCCAAGGACAAGUGAACUUGCUGAAACUUAAUACAUUUUAAUCAUCAGAAUAGAGUAGUCACAAUUAUUUUUCAUGUGUACAACUGUAAUUUGCUUUCUACUAUGACUUUAUUUUAGAAGGGAAAAUGUUCAUCCCAUAUAUUGU